rnacentral:lncRNA from 1 species
UAAUGGUUAACCCUAAUAACUUUUUACUUGAGGUAUCAAAGAAGGUAAUUUCAUAAUUUCUGUUAUGGAUCUCAUUAGAAUUUAUUGCUGCAACGCUGCUAGAGUCACUUGAUUCUUGUUUGGUCUGCUGUCUAAAUUUCUGCACUUCUAAGUUUAAUUCUUUUUGAUCAUUUCAAAUUAAUUACGAAGUUUUCUUAUUUUUCCUGAAUUAAUCUUGAUUCUCUCUAAAAUUGCAAGGAUUCCGCAGGUCCUCAUGCAUUUUAGACUAUUAUUGACAAAAUACACAAGCUUUUGAAGAGCAGCAGAUUGUUGUGCCUGGAAAAAUUAGCAUGUGGUUUUGCAAUUUGCUGCCUCAGGAUCCAUUGAAAUUAUGAUUGCGAGUCGGGGUGUUCUUUUGUGCAUGUAUUAUGAUUUUAACAUUACAUUGUAUUUCCCUUUUGUCGUUUGUUGUUCGUUGAUUGAUCUCGUCUUUAGUCCAUGAAAAUAUAUGGUAAGAGUGUAUUAAGGGAAUACAUAGAGGGGACUGGAAUUCACGAAGCAGCAUAGGAUUGACCAAUUGCUAUGCGUACAAUUGUGGUGUUCGAUUAUGGUUUUCCACCUGAGAAUUGUAAUGAUGAAGAAAUUUUGCUCCCCGGUUUUCUUAGGUAGGAAUUUAAGCGACAAGUCAAUUGCCGAAUAUGAUGUAAAAUGUCAAUGGUAUUGAAUGCUUUGGUUAUAAUUGUUUUACUUUUGCAGUCCACUGUUUGCACCUUACAAGCUUUAGUCACAUGCUAGUUUUGUUAAAGGGACAGGAUGUAUCAAUCUUGUCUUCAUGUCAACUAGUAGUUAUUUUUUUUUUGCUAUAAGAGUGGUGAAGAUGCUGUUGACGGUCACCCAAACUCGGUAACUAUUACCCUCCUAAAUUGAAGUUUUCUUGCCCCUUUGCAUUGUAACAGAAUAUGGCUCUACUUAUGUACAUUAGACUAGGGUACGGGAUGUCGGGUGCGGGUUAAUAUGUCUAAGUGUCUGAUUCAUUUAAUUUUUCUUUCAAGGACACGGGGGACACGCCAAUAAUUCAUAUACUAAGUAAUGUCGUCAUUUCUUGGAUUAUUAAAGAUGUUAUAGGUGCAUUAAAGUAUUUCAUGCAUAAUAUAAGAGUUCUAUGCGUAGUUCAUCGUGAUUGAUAUCCAAAAAUAUUUUUCUAGGUGGAUGUCCUUCUAAAUAUGUCGGACACGGAUCCCAUACAUAUCCGAGGGUCGAGGGUCCGAACGGGUAGGUACUUACAAAUUUAGAAGAGGCGAUUUGUAACAUAGCUUCUUAUAUUGCAGAAUUGCAAUUCUAAGCGACUUGGAAUUGCAUUCUUAUAUUCAUUGAAUCAUAGUGCCAUAUCACCACACCACCCCUAGUUCUGCUCUGUUGCCAACAUUCAUUAGACAAAAUUAGGCCAGCAGAGAAAAGAGAGGAGGCGAGUAAUUAACUGAUACUCAACUGUUGGACUGCAUGACAGUCGUUGAAUUGUCUGAAUUGUUCUAUGAAGCUAUUACUUUAGUGGUUUUACAGGCAAUUUAUAGUGUUUUGCUUGGUUAAUGUAAUGCAAUAAGAAGGCUCGUAGAUAAAGAGAAUGGUACUCGUUUUUCAUUGGAAUUUAAUAGUUGACGGAAAAUGCCUAAGAGGGUGGCUACUAGGUUUGAGAAGAUCUCCUAUGUAAGUUACUCUAACCACAAUUACUUUUCAUUCCUCGUGCUUCGUUUCCUUUUUUGUUUCGUGUGAAUAACCGGCUUCGAAUUAUGGUGUCCAAAUGAUAUUCCUUUGUAAAUGUAUCAGCUUCUAGCACUCAUUAAUGGGCGAAAAUUCCAAGAGGAUUUUUCAGAGUCAGAUGUUAAAGGUGCCGCCACCAUCUAACUCAGCAUCACACAAGAAUGGUGAUAUGUUCAAGGAAACGGGAUAAGAGACGAAGUGAGGAGUUCACUUCCUCUGGAAAAAGUGAUCCAUGGAGAGUUAGACUGAGAAAAAACCACUAGAAGAAGGAAAAGAAAGGAAAGAAAGGGACCACUUCCUCUCCUCCUGGAAUCAGUUAAUUGCAUAAUGAGCACGAAAUGGGUGCAUCUGAAAAAUUCUGAACUUCUUACUGGAAGAGAGUAUCUUCCAUUAUCUAGUGAUUCGUGACUGGCCAACUUCCACUGACUCGGAAAGAGGAUUUGAAAUGUUCGUUUUGAUGGUAGUGGUUUGUAGUAAUAAAACUCUGGUUUGCUAUCUUUGAGCUUUAAGGUAUGUGAAUCUGUAUUUAGGGACCGAUAUCUUAGUCGCAUCCAAUUCCAUUUAAAGUUAACAUUACUCUGAAGUACAAAGGAUGUUGGGACCAACAAAUCAAGACGUUAAGUUAGGCAGAGGAAAAGUUGAGGUCUCCAGUUGACCAAAUGGUGAGGAUCUGCGAUAGUAAAUGCUUUAAUUUGGAGAAACUAUUUUGUGGUUAUUUCUAUGGCAGUGUUGUCUUCGACUUUUCAGGAUGCUAUUCAUGCAC